rnacentral:rRNA from 1 species
UACGUAGGGGGCAAGCGUUGUCCGGAUUUAUUGGGCGUAAAGAGCUCGUAGGUGGUUCGGUAAGUCGGAUGUGAAAUCUCCAGGCUCAACCUGGAGGGGUCAUUCGAUACUGCCGUGACUAGAGUUCGGUAGGGGAGUGUGGAAUUCCCGGUGUAGUGGUGGAAUGCGUAGAUAUCAGGAGGAACACCGAUGGCGAAGGCAGGUCUCUGGGCUGACACUGACGCUCAUGCACGAAAGCGUGGGGAGCAAACAGG